UUCUCUCAUGGCGGCUCUUCCGAUUUUCAUUUUAUUAAUGAGGGGAUUUUAUUCACACCCAUGCGUAUAUGACUUGUGCUGCCAUAUUGCCACACAUGUUUUGGGUGUGAAAAAACAAAAAAUCAUGGUGCAGAUAGCAAAUAUUACUAUCUUCCAAAGUUGACCGCGAAUUUUUCCUCUCGUCACGUUCCAUGAACCCAAUUACUCGUUCUUGCCUUUUUAGUCGACUGCGUAUCUGGCCCUUGAAAAUCCAACCCGUAAACUUCAUUUGAUUUUAUUUCUAGGGUUUAUAGGCCUACCUAUUACCAGGCCCCUGUGAAUUUCAUCGGAGAAAGGUUUUUUCAUUUCAUGAAUGGGUAAGCAAAUCUUUCGAUUCAAGUGAUUUUGCUUGCCUCCUCAUUUGUGGUUCUCUUUGUUUGUGUUUUUCCUUUUUUUUCUUUUUUUUUGGCAGUUUGGGUUUUACGCAAUUGGAAUGGUUCAGUUAGGGUUUUGAGAAUUGGGUUUUCCUGGCUGUAUCAGUUUUUGAAUUGGGUUUUCCUGAUUAAGGGCUGAGUUUGUGUUUUUUGGGGCCUUUUUUCUUUUGGGUUUUCGUCUUCAAGUGUUUUGUGGGGAAUAAUAAUGGUCCCCCAAAUUAUCAGAGAAAGAAAUUGAAUUUUCUUGGCUCUAGAAUUGUUUCAAAUCUCUGUUCAGAAGGACCGUUGAUUGACUAAAAAUUCAUUAAGGUAGCGUUUAGAGAAUCACCAGAAGGAGAAGAAGAACUUGUUAGUCUGACUUUACAGGGAAAAAUGAAUUUAGGUGUUAUUUCAACGUUUGUAUUCAAUUGGUUGAUUUGAAUUUGGAUGGUAGUUCUUGACAUUAACAUGACAUAGAAAGGUUUCAGCUUUCUAUGAAAGGAAGUAAUUGGGUUUGAGAUUCAUGAAAUUCACUUCAUUCUCGAGAAGAACAGAAACAUAUAUAGCCUACAAGAGAAUGGACUGGGGGAAAACUGGUUCUGACGACUCUCUCAAGUCUGAACAGGAAGUUUCAGUCUAAGAAAAGGUACUCUUCGAGAAAAAGCCUCUCCCAAGAACACAGAGAGAGAGAGAGAGAGAGAGAGAGAGAGAGAGAGUUGGAUUUGGGGUGUUUUUUAAGUAUAUCUUGUGAUGGAUCAACUUGCCAUGAUUGCCAAUGAGUUUGGCGAUGGAUCCGACAUGGAAGUUGAUGAUAUUAGGGUUGAUAAUUUAGCUGAGAAUGAAGUUAGUGAUGAAGAGAUAGAACCAGAUGAAUUAGAGAAGCGUAUGUGGAAGGAUCGAAUAAAACUCCAAAGAAUUAAGGAGCGCCAAAAGGCUGCAGCUCAACAAGCUGAGAAGCCAAAACAAAAGCAAACCUCUGAUCAGGCUCGAAGGAAGAAAAUGUCAAGAGCCCAAGAUGGUAUUCUGAAGUACAUGUUAAAGCUCAUGGAGGUCUGCAAAGCUCGGGGUUUUGUCUAUGGAAUCAUACCUGAGAAGGGAAAACCAGUAAGUGGGGCCUCUGAUAACAUAAGGGCAUGGUGGAAAGAGAAAGUGAAGUUUGACAAGAAUGGUCCUGCUGCUAUAGCAAAGUACGAGGCUGAGAACUUUUCGGCGGGGAAAGCUGAUAACAAAGGGGGUUUCAAUAGCCUUCAAGACCUUCAAGACACUACAUUAGGCUCUCUUUUGUCAUCGUUAAUGCAACACUGUGACCCGCCACAAAGGAAGUUUCCAUUAGAGAAGGGAGUUGCCCCACCAUGGUGGCCCUUGGGGAAUGAGGAGUGGUGGAGUGAAUUGGGAUUAUCAAAACGUUUAGAUCCACCUCCUUAUAGGAAGCCCCAUGACCUGAAAAAGGUCUGGAAAGUUGGGGUUCUCACUGCUGUUAUAAAACACAUGUCCCCCAAUAUCGCAAAGAUUAAGAAGCAUGUCAGGCAAUCAAAAUGCUUGCAAGAUAAGAUGACUGCUAAAGAGAGCUCGAUUUGGUUGGGAGUUUUGAACAAAGAGGAAGGGACUAUCCAUCAGCUUAGUAAUGAGAAUGGCUCAUCUGGGGUCUCAGAGACUGGGACUCCUCCUGCUUUUAGUGAGAGAAAAGAGGCUGAAGCUUGUAGCAAUAGUGAGUAUGAUGUUGAUGGAUAUGAAGAUGAACCUUGUUCUGUUUCCUCCAAAGAUAAUGGGAAGGCUUCAAAGGAUGAUAGAGAAACUUGCUUAGAAAAAGGUGAUUCUAGGGAAAAUGAGAAGCGCCUGCACCAAGAGUUUCAUGCUAAAGAGCCUUCUCCACAAGAGGCAAGGAGGAAGAGGCCUCGGACGAGCUCAACUCCUGUUAAUCAACAUGAACCUUUGCCUCUUGAGGAAUCUCAGGAUGGGGUGCCUCGAAAUGUUAUUCCAGACAUGAAUCUUAUGGAGGCACAGCCAAUCUCAGUACAGCCUCCCCCUCAAAAUAUUCAAUUGGGCUCGGCUCCAUUGCCUCUUGAAGAUCCUACACAACUUCCUCACCAAUUGCAAGAUUCUCAGUUUCACAAUGUUCCCGGCGAAUUUUCUGGCAUGGCCUCUGCAAAUAUUGUGGCCCGUAGCAUGAGUGUUAAGGGGCAGCCAUUAUUAUUUGCUGGUGCACCCAAUACAUCUUUGCACACAAAGGCUACUUUUCCAGCUUAUGAUAGCUCACCUGGAAGAUAUGGGUUCUCUCAUGCUCAAUCACAAAUGCAAAUGGUUAAUGGUGGCCAUGAUCUCAGGCAAGACGGUGGAGAAAUUCGUGACGAGAAUCAAGUUUUUGGCCAUGUUUUGACAUUAGAGGGUAGAACCCAUGAGAUUGUAGGAGAUGUAAACCCUCUGGUUAAGGAUGCAUUCCACAGUGAGCCAGAUAAGCUUGUUGAGAGCCGGUUUGGCUCACCAAUGCAUGACCUCUCGUUAGUAUAUGGGUUCCAUAGCCCAUUUGAUUUUGGUAUUGGAGACACGGGGUCACUAGAGGCAGCUGAUCUUGACUUUUCAUUGGAGGAUGACUUGAUUCAAUACUUUGGAGCUUAGAGUACAAUUUUUGUGGAGGUAGACUCGAAUUCUUUUGUUGGUGGAGGGUCAUAACAUAUUCUUAAAGACUGCUUGCAACUUUUGGUAAUCACUGGUUGAAGUUCUGUAAAACUUUGUAAGGUUGGAUAUCUUCUAACCUUGAAAGUUGUCAAAGCUUUUUCCGAACUAAUUGGGGUUGGCUUGGCGAUGAUAAGUUUUGGCAAAGUAUUACGAUGGCUGCCUACCUAACCCAACUCAGCCCUUUUACUUCGGCAUGGGACAGGUUAAGGGAAAGUUUAAGGGAAUGCAUCUUCAACUUCCAAAAGAUGCUUUCAAAUGGACAACAACUGCGGUUUGCAAGCAAAGGGGAAUAAGCAACCCCACCAAAUGUUUCUCCCCUCGAGAAAGACUGACCUACAUGCUCUUUACCGAGCCAUUUUCACCCUCGAGUAAGUUGAGCUCUGGGGCAGGAGACUUAGCCAAGGCACAAGAGAUUAGUUCUCAAGAAAGGGACAAUUCGAUGAUGAGGAUUUCCUGCUUAGCUCACAUUACUUGCUCUAGGCAUGAGAGUUCGCAGUUUGCAUUAACGAGAUCAUCAUCUAGCAAUAUGUUGCAUAGAUGGAACUCAUCAUCUGUAUCUGAUCACAGACAAAUAGUGCUUUAAACUUCCCUUUCAUAGUUCCAAUUGCUCUUUCUUUGCAAGAUAUCUUCAUUUUCUCCUUUAGCAUGUUUACUUUUUCUGUCUUAUUUUUUGAUUCACCCAUUAUCUUCUUGGGAAUGACUGAUAUUCAUUUCAAGACAACACUUUUUUCUAAUUUAAAAGGAAAUAAUAUUUCUCUUUUCCGAUUUCCGAACAGUAACAGUUUUCCAUACCACUUAGCCAUCCAGUUUAUGCUUUCUUCUGAUUGUUCUCAGCUCAUAAUAUAUUGAGGUGUUUAGUUAGAAUAUUUCACUUUUCUGAUAAAGUACCUGAUUUAGCAUUACAAUGUCUUAGAACUUGCUGAUUGUAUCUUGUCCACCUAACUUAUUGUUGUAGGAACAAAACAGAAAAUCGACGUUUAUAAAACUUUGGAAACAUAUUGUUAUAGAUUGUUUAAACAUUUACCAGCAGGCAAGAAUGUUUGUUAGUCUGAUAAGUACUGAUUAAAUGUUGACCUUUGAGUUUGUUCACAGAUUCUCACACAGCUGUGUAAGGUUGGAUAGUUAGACAGGUUUUUGGCAUUUCUUAACAUUUAGUCUUUAAGAAUUACAUCAAUGAGCAAUCAUCAGUACAGGACUUGACUGAAAGCUAUAACUGGCAUCUAGAAACUCUAAAAUUUGAUGUAAAACGGACUGGAACAUAUGCUAUAGUCCAAUAGACUAUUUCUUUUGGAUGAAUAGUCUAAUGGACUAUGAGAAACCAUAAGUCAGAGGCUACAUUCCAUUCCUACCAAUACUGACCCCUUUUGAAAACCAGUAACAGUUUCAAAUUGCUAACCCACUAGUAAAGACGACAAUGAUUUAGCCUUGUACUAUGGUUUCCAGAGUCCAUUUAGAACCAUAGUAUACUUUCUCAAUAUGGAUGAGACUUUCUCUGAGAAUGUGUAAAUUCAAUUUGGAAUGGGCAUUUCUAUUCAACGAAAAUCUUGACCCGAAGAUUGGAGCCAUUGAUGCUGCAUUGAACAAGCUGCAGAUGGUUUUAGAUUCUCUUCGGAGAGCUGUCAUGCAAGUGAACAAAACCGUACAUGAAGUUUCAGUUGAAAUGGAAGAUAUUAGAAAGAAGCUUAUUGUUGAGGAUAACACAUUGCAUCUUCUGGAUCAGCUCAAGGACCUGGAGGGCAUCAAAUCUAGGCUUCAUGAAAUUUCACAACAAUUCCUGAUCAAAUUAGAAAGGAAUCUGCCCUUCCCAAGUUUGAGGAGAUGGAGCAUGUGCUAAAAUCAAUACCUGGCAGGCAAUGACUGCAAAUACAAAGCCUUCUGAAGAUAAGCUCCUUAAAGCUGAGUCCAGAACAUCAUCUAGUGUACUGCUUUAUGCUCCUAGUAUGCAGAAUGAAGACUUCUAAGUUAAUCACAUUGAAAUUCAUUUGUUAUUCUUCUUUUUCACUUGUGAUGCAACUGUACAGAGAAGAAACCUCAUUACUGAAAGAUACCAAAGACCACAACAGGCCAAAACAAGCACGUAUGGUUUGAGACCCAGCUUUUGGACAUUUUUAAUGCUUUGUUUCUUUGGCAUAUCUUUCAUAGGUGGCUCAGUUUACAGUCAUCCAGCUCUAGCCAAGGUUUUCUCAAGAAGUGAACUGAUACCAAAGUCAGAGCCAUUCACCUUGAAACCAUGCAAAGCAGAUACAGCUAUAUGCCUUGAAAUUCCACUGUAUUUGAAAUAUAUAGUUCAAAGUUGACCUUUCCGCCAAAUGCAAAUGUAGAUAUAAGAUCUCAAAGAUUUCUAUGUUAAACAAACAAAGCUACAGCUAAAGAUUCUACCUGUUAUUUACAAUCAUUUGGGGGUAUCACUGGAAAGCGAGUUGAGGAUGAUUAUCGAUUCUGAUGAGGAGGUGGAUGGAGAUUUCAAUGUUAAACAAACAAAGCUACAGCUAAAGAUACUACCUAUGAUUUACAAUAGCUUGGGGGCAUCACGGGAAAGCUAGUUGAAGAUGGGUCUUAAAUGCCUGUUUGGAAAAGCAGAAACAGGGAGACCAACAACAGGCUACUGGAGUUGUUCCUUUGAGGAAGCAAAGGAAGAAACUAAAAGAAUGUUGAGGAAAGCAAGGAUGAGGAAAAGAAAACAUCAAGGAUUGCUUUACUAUAUAGAUUGAUGUAUGGGUACGUGUAAAAUCAAGCAUAAUAUUCCAAUGCUAUCAGCACACUCAUUUUUCUUGGCAAAAGUUCUCACAAUGUUUAGUGCGGCCUUUUCAUUGUCCUAGCAAAAUUUCUUCGAUGAAAAAUGGGGCAUAUAUACAUGCUUCACAGAAAUGAUUGAAAGUGUCUGCGCGAAUGCGCCGAUGACCAAAGUGUACCAAUAGACAUGCAUGGUUAUAUGUAUGCCCUCAACAUAUUACAGAACAACAAUUAUGAAAUGCAAGUCAUGCACUCCCCUUCAGGUUGAUAUUGAGAAUUUAACUGGUGAAUAUCUCUACCAAAAAUUUGUAUCCAACUACAGUCAUUCCCUUACUGUGAAGAAUUUGUUCCAUGCGUAUAUGAAGAAGAGAAAUAACAACUGAAGCGAAAUGGUGAUAGACAAAAGCCUGUCUGUCUUCUAUGUUGUUGCUUCGUUCUAUAAAGAUGGGUUGUUGCACUUUGAAUAGCUCUAACAUUGUAUCCUUAAAAUGCCGUCUCUCU